GCCGGGGUGGUGAAAUUGGUAGACGCAGGGGACUCAAAAUCCCCCGGAACUCGCGUUCCGUGCGGGUUCGAUUCCCGCCCCCGGCA
rnacentral:tRNA from 1 species